CCGAGAGAGUGAGAGAGAUAGAGAUAGAGAGAGAGACAGCUAAAGAAAGAAUGGGCAGCCACUCUGGUGCACUCUGGUGGUUCUUGCAGCGGUGUCACUGCUGCUUGACAGUCCGACUGUGGCAUUGUGGCUCAUGUGGGAUUCAGCGGAAACACUGCAAACUACUCUAUUCCCAGUGGACGUAUGUAAAUGGGAACGGACGGAUUUUCUUCUCCAAAAACUUGUUCCACUUUAUGUUGAUGUUUCCCGGAUCAGAAAGAGUUGCAACUCCGUGAACUAAUACAACUUUGUGAAGAGUUUGGAUACAUCUUUUUUGAAGAACAUGCUGCUGUUGCCUCCACCAGAAGAACUUCCACUAACAAUCACGUCUUGUUUAUCCCGUACGGAAGCCACUACUGCCUUUUGAACACUGCCAAACAAGACUUCUCAAGUUCUGAAAUGUAAGCUGUGACUGCAAAGUAAAUAAAACCUGUUAUUUAGUGAGCAGAUGUAUGAUGUUUGUAAGAAGCAUAGAAUCUUUCGUUUUGUUAACUUUGACUUAAAAAACAUCUUUAGCUGAUUAUAAUGGAUGGAAACCUGAGCACUUCAGCAUCCUACGUGAUCAACAGAACAGAGCCCUAUCACGUGGCGGCGGGACCCUGGAGCCUCAUCGUACUGGUCAUCAUAAUACUGACUAUAGUGGUGGGAAACCUGCUGGUGAUCAUCGCUGUAGCUCGCACUUCACAGCUACAAACAACGACAAACAUUUUCAUUAUGUCCCUGGCAUGCGCAGACCUCAUCAUGGGGGUCCUCGUGGUGCCUCUGGGGGCCACUAUUGUGGUGACUGGUAAUUGGCAGCUCAGUGUCACAUUCUGUGAGUUCUGGACUUCUGUGGACGUCCUGUGUGUGACGGCGAGCAUCGAGACACUCUGCGUCAUAGCAGUGGAUCGGUAUAUAGCCAUCACCAGGCCGCUCCGACACAAGGUUCUACUCAAUAAGUGGCGUGCAAGGUCAAUAGUCUGCUUAGUGUGGGUUGUGUCCGCUUUAAUUUCCUUUGUACCAAUUAUGAAAGGGUAUUGGCAUGAUAAUGACGAUGAAGCAGCGAAGCAUUGCUACAAGACCCAGACAUGCUGUGACUUUGUGACCAACAGGGCCUUUGCUAUUGUAUCUUCGAUAGUGUCUUUUUACAUUCCACUGCUCAUAAUGAUAUUUGUGUAUGCUAAAGUCUUUCUAAUAGCCACACGGCAGGUAAAGCUCAUAGAUAAGAAUCGCAUGCGUUUUCAGAAUGAGUGUCCAAUCGGGCAGGUGCAAGUUGACCCUCACAUGAAUAAUAUCCUGUCAACGGCGUGUGCCGGUUCCACCAGCUGCAGCAGCGCGAUGCGGAGAAAGAGUGUCAAACGGAGGCCGUCACGGCUAAUGCUCGUCAAAGAGCACAAGGCCCUGAAGACUUUGGGGAUCAUCAUGGGGACCUUCACUGUGUGCUGGCUGCCGUUCUUUGUCGCCAACAUCAUCAAUGCAUUUGAAAGAGACAUUCCCUCAGAAAGGAUCUUCCGACUGUUGAACUGGCUGGGUUACAUCAACUCCGGCCUCAAUCCUAUCAUCUACUGCAGGAGUCCUGAGUUUCGUACUGCGUUCAAGAACCUGCUGGGCUGUCCGUGGUGGUCCAGCCUGUGGCUCAAUACUUUCUACAAAGAGCUGCGGACUAGCUGCUCCUGCUUUCUAUGGCAGGCUGAGUCGGGCACUGCAGCAGGGUCUUUCCAAAAGCCUCCAACUGGUAGGACUGAGGUCAGUGAGAGUCUGGCCAGUACUCAUGGAAGCAGCAAAAGUGAAGAGGCUUUCCCUGAUCCUCUGCAGUCCAACGGCAGCACACAAAUCAGUGACUUAUCAGAGCCAGAAACCAAAUUCUGACCCCAAAGAGACUGUAUGGACUGGAGAGAAAACAGCUGAUUUGGUCUGUACAGGAGCAGAGAGAUGGACUGCUGCAGCUCAGCACCUCACAGGCACUAAGUGACAACAAAGUAUCCUGAAUGAGACAAUGCUGCAAGUUGUAAAUGCAUUCCAGUUAACCUUUGGUCACAGUGUAUGUGGACUGUGGUUUAAAAAAUGACAGAAUGAACAUGUGUGUACAGUAUUUUAUCUGAUGAGAGAGGACACGGAGAGCGACAGUUCGUUCUCAACAACAAUGGCGAUGCCUGGAGAGGUUAAAGUAAAUAUCCGACGCCAUCCGGCUGGUUUCCCCGUCCCCAGCGAAGCUACUGCCGGCGCGCUCCGCUCCUCUGCCCCAGCUGCGCUGGCUCUGUGGCUUCACCAUUGAUUGCAUCCUCCAUGAUUGCAUGGUUCUGCAGUAUUCCACCUCGCAGCUCCUCGGACUCAACAACUUCUCUGCUCCUCAGCCACCAAGGCACUCGGACUCCUGGUUAUCUGAGGGAGAUUGUAGUCCUCUUAUAGAGGCAACCCCCCCUGAUUUUACCCACCUUCAUCAACCCCGGCUGUCAGGCAGAGGAGGGGGGGUUGCUAUUAUUCAUAGAAAAGGUUUUAAAUGCUCUCCCAUCUCACAUGGUAACUAUACAUCUUUUGAACAUCUUGGUGUUAUGGUUAACUCUAAAGACCCUGUCAUAAUUGUUAUAAUCUACAGACCGCCAAAGUCUAACAGUGUUUUUAUCCAAGAGUUUGCCGAACUUUUUAUCCCAACUUCCCACAACUCACAGUACACCUGCCCGUUGCCGGGUUUUUAAUUCCAUGUCUGCUAGCAAAUUUUCAGAGCGUUUUACUGCUGCUUCUUUAACUGCUUUUAAUCCACAUUCUGAUACUGAGGAGCUGGUCCCUCUUUUUAAUCACACCUGUCAGACUGUCCUGGACU